CCUACGGGAGGCAGCAGUGAGGAAUAUUGGUCAAUGGACGAGAGUCUGAACCAGCCAAGUAGCGUGAAGGAUGACUGCCCUAUGGGUUGUAAACUUCUUUUAUAAAGGAAUAAAACGAGCCACGCGUGCCUUUCUGAAUGUACUUUAUGAAUAAGGAUCGGCUAACUCCGUGCCAGCAGCCGCGGUAAUACGGAGGAUCCGAGCGUUAUCCGGAUUUAUUGGGUUUAAAGGGCGCGUAGAUGGGUUGUUAAGUCAGUUGUGAAAGUUUGCGGCUCAACCGUAAAAUUGCAAUUGAUACUGGCAGUCUUGAGUGCAGUUGAGGUAGGCGGAAUUCGUGGUGUAGCGGUGAAAUGCUUAGAUAUCACGAAGAACCCCGAUUGCGAAGGCAGCUUACUAAGCUGUGACUGACAUUGAUGCUCGAAAGUGUGGGUAUCAAACAGGAUUAGAUACCCGAGUAGUC
rnacentral:rRNA from 1 species